UUAUUAUUUUAUUAUAUUUGUUUAUUGUUUAUUAAUUGUUUAAUAGAAAUAACUUUAUAUAUUUUUGUCUAAGUAUAUUUUGUAGAAUUGAUUCUUUUUAUUAUAGUUGAUUAGUAAUGUAGUUGAAUUAUGAAAUAAUUUUUUAUUUUUCGUUAAGAAGAUUUUGAUUAUUGUACCUUUUGUAUCAGGGUUUAUUAAAAUUAUAUCAAUUAGUUGUUUAUCUCGAUUUGGGUUGAUUUAUAAACAAAUCAUAGUUAAUGUAUCAAAAUUAUUAUGGAUUUGUUUAUAGAAAUGAAAUGUUAAUCGUUUCCUAAUAUAUCUAGUUUCUUAAGAAAAAAUUCAAUUUUUGAAGUUAUUUGUUUAUUUUUAAUUUUUAAAUUUUAAAUAUAAUCUUAUUAAUUCUUUAGGGGAUAAGCUCUGAGGAUUGAAUCUAUAAUUUAACUUAUAAAAAUAUAAAAGUAAGCUUUAGACCAGCUAUCUUGUUGAUUACGUUUUAGUUUAUUAUUUUAGAUUUUAAUUUUAUAGUUAUUUUAGUUAUUUUAUUAAGGUUUUUAAUUUAAUUCUGAAAUUUUAGUAAUAAUGAUAAAAUUAGUAUAUAAUUUUGUUUAUAAUUAUUUUAUUUUUUAAUUUAUUAUAAGGAAUUUGGCAAAUUUGAUUUCCGCCUGUUUAUCAAAAACAUGUCCUUUUGAAUAAAUAAUUUAAGGUCUGGCCUGCUCACUGACUUAGUUUUAAUAGCCGCGGUAUUUUGACCGUGCAAAGGUAGCAUAAUCAUUAGUCCCUUAAUUAGUGGCUGGUAUGAAUGGUUCGACGAGAAAUCAACUGUCUCUUAUUAAAUUUUAAAAGUUAACUUUUAAGUUAAAAGGCUUAAAUUUUUCUUAAGGACGAGAAGACCCUAUAGAGCUUUAUAUUUUAUUUUUAUAUAAUUUUUAGUUUGUUUUUUUAUAUAUAAUUAUAAUAUUUUGUUGGGGUGAUAUGAAAAAUAAUUAAACUUUUCAUUAUGAAAUCAUUUAUUUAUGUUAAGGUAUGAUCCACAAUUUGUGAUUAAAAGAUUAAGUUACCUUAGGGAUAACAGCGUAAUUGUUUUUGAGAGCUCUUAUCAACAAAGCAGAUUGCGACCUCGAUGUUGGAUUAAGAAAAAUUUUGGGUGCAGGAGCCCAAUAAUUAGGUCUGUUCGACCUUUAAAUUCUUACAUGAUCUGAGUUCAGACCGGCGUAAGCCAGGUCGGUUUCUAUCCUAAGUUAAUUAUAUUUACAUUAGUACGAAAGGACCAUGUAAAUGAAGUAUUAUCUUUUAUUUUUGAUUAAGAUUAAUUAUA
rnacentral:rRNA from 1 species